rfam:Pongo abelii chromosome 2a.
GCCGGGUGUGGUGGCACAUACCUGUAAUCCCAGCUACUCAGGAGGCUGAGGCAGGAGAAUCACUUGAACCCGGGAGGCGGAGGUUGCAGUGAGCUGAGAUCAUGACACUGCACCCCAGCCUGGGUGACAAAGCGAGACUCUGUCUCAA